GGGUGCGAUCAUACCAACAUUAAUGCACCAAAUCCCAUCAGAACUCCGUAGUUAAGCGCACUUGGGCUAGAGUAGUACUAGGAUGGGUGACCUCUCAGGAAGUCCUAGUGUUUCACACU
rnacentral:rRNA from 1 species